rnacentral:rRNA from 1 species
UACGUAGGGCGCAAGCGUUGUCCGGAAUUAUUGGGCGUAAAGAGCUCGUAGGCGGUUUGUCGCGUCUGCUGUGAAAUCCCGAGGCUCAACCUCGGGCUUGCAGUGGGUACGGGCAGACUAGAGUGCGGUAGGGGAGACUGGAAUUCCUGGUGUAGCGGUGGAAUGCGCAGAUAUCGGGAAGAACACCCGUGGCGAAGGCGGCUCUCUGGGGCGGUACUGACGCUGAGACGCGAAAGCGUGGGGAGCGAACAGG